rnacentral:ncRNA from 1 species
AAGCUCCUAUCCUCAAAAGAGAAAGCAGUUAGCAGAGGGCUGAGCCAUGGCCAAGGUGUCAGGGACUCUGCAUCUGGGGGGAGGAGACAAGCAGANACAAAGAAGAUCUUUCCAGGAGGAAAUAUUUCUGAAAAGGCUCUUGUUUUAAAGGCUCUUAUUUCAAAUACUUUCAUUGUUUUAUCAUUGACCCCGUGAGCAGAGGAGCAAGCCCCGAGGGGUUUUUGCUUCUGGCACCAAGUGUCUGUUGCUGCACAUGGGCAGGUGGGCAUGACCCACUCCAGAGACAGUGCCAGGUGUUGAGUUUGAUUAGGGAGGUACACCUGUCAAAUCGUAAGGCAGGUGUCCUAAUGUAAACUCAGGAAAGAAAAAAACUUCCCAUGGCAAAAAAGCAAAAGCUUAAUCUUGAUUUUUCAGUACUAAUACAGACCAUGUAAAUGGAACCAGGAAUGUCCUGAGUGUUACAGCCUCCUAGCAGUGACA